rnacentral:rRNA from 1 species
UACGUAGGGCGCAAGCGUUGUCCAGAAUUAUUGGGCGUAAAGAGCUCGUAGGUGGUUUGUCGCGUCUGCCGUGAAAGCCCGGGGCUUAACUCCGGGUCUGCGGUGGAUACGGGCAGACUAGAGGCAGGUAGGGGAGAACGGAAUUCCAGGUGUAGCGGUGAAAUGCGUAGAUAUCUGGAGGAACACCGGUGGCGAAGGCGGCAUCCUGGACCAACACUGACACUGAGGAGCGAAAGCCAGGGGAGCAAACGGG